rnacentral:lncRNA from 12 species
CUGGGCCAGUGGAUCCAGCUUUAAUCACCUCUGUGCCCCUCCUCACCUUGCUCAGUACUCUUCUGGCUUUUCAAUUAGUGUUUCAUUUCAUUGGCAAACUAUUUACUCAGCUUAUAGUGUAUAUCUAUAGCACUCAUUUAUUUUCAGUCAUCAGUCAUGGUAACUCAGCAAAGGCUCUAUGUCAAAGGUUUCAACAUCCUCCUAAUCAGCGUCCUGGUUUAAUUUUGCCAGCCCACUUCCCGCCCAGAAAUCGGUGGGGUGUCUCUUAAAGGCAGGUGUGACUGUGAUCCUCCUUGCCUGCCCCCAAGCCAAUAUUAAACUCAAAAUCAGAGACUCUUAGUUUCAGUUGCCUUAUCACAAGGAAAAAUUCCACAUUCCUUAACAUAUCUUCCCAAGUACUUAAGUCCACUGCUCCUCUCCCUUGUUCCUUUCUCCAGUUCCAUGUUCUGCUGCAAACUCCUGCUGCUUGAACCCUCUGCAUUGUCUACACGAGCAGGAGCCUCAAGUCUUUGCAGUCUGGACAAGACUGACCCUCUCCAUGGAGGUACCAGCCUAAGCAUGACUAUUAUUUGGGGACUGCUCUUUGUAAGGGAUCAUUCAAGGAAGGAUUUUUGGUGCAGGAGGUACUUCUUCCCUUACCUGGAAUUGCUAUUAAGCUUCCAAUAGAAGAAUGUAUUUUGAAAGAAGAAAGAGAACAUGUCUGCUAGAGGAUUGAAUGGAUUAUGUAUUCCACAGCUAUGCCACAAGUAAAAGAGAUAUAAAAAUGAAAGUCAAUGAUACACAAAAAGGAAAGACUCUGGUCUUGAAACAAUCAUUAGCUGAAGACUAUUGUCGGGAAGAGGAAUUUCAAAUUCUUGAAAAUACUCAAAAUACAUAGCAUUAAAACAAAAAUAAACAACUUCACUCAUACA